rnacentral:ncRNA from 1 species
AUAAAUUUUUAUGAUUUAAAAAAAUUUAAUUUAAAUUUAUUUUACAUGUAAAUUUUAGUGUUAAUUUUUAAUUAUUUUAAUAAUAAUUAUUAAUAUUUGCAGUAAUUAAAAUUAAAAAUUUAAGAAAUUAAGAUUUAGAAAUAUUUUGAUUAUUAACAAAUUUUGUGCCAGCAGUUGCGGUUACACAAAAAAUAAUUUAAAUUUUAUCGGUAUAUAAUAAAUAAGAAUUAUUAUUUAAAUUAAAUAUUAAAUUAUUAAGUGAAAUUUUAAUUUAAUUAAAAUUUAUAUUAAUUUUAUGAUUUAUUAAAUUUUAUAAAAAACUAGGAUUAGAUACCCUACUAUUAAAAAUUAAAUUUAUAAUACUAAAAUAGUAGAUAAUAAUUUAUUGAAACUUAAAUAAUUUGGCGGUAUUUUAGUUCAUUUAGAGGAAUCUGUUUAAUAAUUGAUAAUCCACGAAUAAAUUUACUUAAUUUAUUAUUUUGUAUAUCGUUGUUAAAAAAAUAUUUUUUAAUAAAAAUAAUAUUUAAAAAUUUUUAUAUAAAAUUAAUUCAGAUCAAGAUGCAGAUUAUAAUUAAGAAUAUAAUGGAUUACAAUAAAUAAAUUUAAAUGAAUAAUAUUUUUUAAUAAAUAUUUGAAGGUGGAUUUAAAUGUAAUUUUAAUUAAUUUAUUAAAAUGAUUAUAUAUUAAAAUAUGUACAUAUUGCCCGUCGCUUUCAUUAAUAAAUUGGAAUAAGUCGUAACAAAGUAGAGGUACUGGAAAGUGUUUCUAGAAAGAA